AGGUUAAGGAACAAAGGGCACACAGUGGAUGCCUUGGCACCAAGAGGCGAUGAAGGACGGAACUAACACCGAAAUGCUCGGGGAAGCUGUAAGUAAGCGACGAUUCCGAGAUGUCCGAAUGGGGGAACCCACUAUGUUGAAGACAUAGUAUCUAACACACGUGUUAGAGGCAAUACGUAGGGAACUGAAAUAUCUAAGUACCUACAGGAAAAGAAAGUAAUAACGAUUCUGUCAGUAGCGACGAGCGAACGCGGAGGAGCCAGAUACCUAAGGUUACAAAAUUAUAUAAUAGAUGAACGAUGUGGGAAAAUCGGUCGAAGAAGGUGAGAGCCCUGUAGUCGAAAUUAUAUAAUCCAUGGUAUCAGAAAGUAGGGCGGGACACGUGGAAUCCCGUUUGAAGAUAGGAGGACCAUCUCCUAAGGCUAAAUACUACUUGGUGACCGAUAGUGAACCAGUACAGUGAUGGAAAGGUGAAAAGAACCCCGGGAGGGGAGUGAAAGAGAACCUGAAACUGUGUGCUUACAAUUAGUCAGAGCCCGUUAAUGGGUGAUGGCAUGCCUUUUGUAGAAUGAACCGGCGAGUUAUGUUACAUAGCAAGGUUAAGGAUGAAGGUCCGGAGCCGAAGCGAAAGCGAGUCUGAAUAGGGCGCUUAAGUUGUGUGAUGUAGACCCGAAACUGGGUGAUCUAGCCAUGAGCAGGUUGAAGUAAGGGUAGUACCUUAUGGAGGACCGAACCGCCGCCUGUUGAAAAAGGCUCGGAUGACUUGUGGCUAGGGGAGAAAUUCCAAUCGAACU
rnacentral:rRNA from 1 species